CCCUUAGAUGUUCUGGGCCGCACGCGUGCUACACUGAGUGGAUCAGCGGGUCAGGUUGCGCGAAAGCGUUUCCUAAUCUUUAAAUCCGCUCGUGAUGGGGAUUGACGGUUGCAAUUUUCUGUCAUGAACGAGGAAUACCUUGUAAGCGCGGGUCAUCAUCCCGCGCUGAAUACGUCCCCGCCCUUUGUACACACCGCCCGUCGCUCCUACCGAUUGAGUGGUCCGGUGAGGCUUUGGGAUCUGAGCGGAAAGAGCGUUUCGCUGUUUCUGCUCGGAAAACUCAGUCGAACCUUAUCAUUUAGAGGAAGGAGGAGUCGUAACA
rnacentral:rRNA from 1 species